rnacentral:lncRNA from 1 species
AUUGACUUGGAACCUUUUGCUGCUGGAGUCAGAUACACUGUCGCAUGUGGGAAGAAGUGAGUCUGGCAAGUCAUCCUGACUUGCACACAAGGACAGGAGCACAUGUAUGUAUGUAUGCAUGCCUAUACACACGGCACCCACACAAGCAAGCACAUGGAGCAAACUAAUUAAGUGUGAUUUUAAAAAUUUAAAAAUAUGUGCAUUUGUAAGGGGUGAGUCCCUCUCACAUCCUUGUGAAGAUGAGGCAGGAAUGCUUUAUGCCGUAAAAGAGCAAACUCUGGUCUUAAGAGCUACUCUUUCAACUGACUUAAGCCUUAAGCAAAACUUUGGGGACCACACCUAAACUCAUGUGAGGCUAUUCCAUGUCUAUUUGAAUCUCCCAAUGUCAGCCACUAGAGUAGGGCCUAGACUCAGAAAUGAACAGGUGGCCAUCUCUCCUCAGGGAACACAUGUUCUCAACAAGUUGGGAGUAAGUGAUGACAGUCACCUCAUGCAACUGUAGACUUGGAUCCUCUGUCAACAUAACAGGGAAAUAAGGGCAGAGUGGCUUUGGCUCUUGAAGGACCUCAAGUAUCUUACAUUCUCUAUGAAUGAAGCUCAGUGCACCGUGAGGCUGUCUCAUUUCUUCCACCAAGGGGCAGGAUGAGCUUAUGUCUAGAAGUAGUCACAGAAGCUGGGUUAUCUAGGGUUCACCUGGCCCCUCAAUUCCCUACGUGAUAUCCUUCCCAUACUGUCUCGUCCUGGUAGUGGGUCACUCUCUGACUACCUGGUGGUAGAUCAUUUCCUUCCUUCCAUGUAUUGGGAAGGAAAGGAACAUGUAGCAAGGGGCUGUGACUACAGACUACAUCUUAUUCCCACACAUUCCCCCACACUCCUGACUGGUAGAUGCUUGAGAGUUGGAUCCUGUGUCUACUUGUGGACAUUGGGAAAGGAGGUGUGUGUGGGGGUAAUCCUCUGUCAUCCUCCUGUGUUGACCUGACUGACAAGGGUAUAACCCAGGGUCAUGUGGCAUUUACUAGCUAAGAAAAGAGAAGUAGACGGGAGAAGACAGGUAAUCUCAAGAGCCACCAGGAGUGCUGAGGAUUUGAUUUUGUCCAGGCUCCUCACAAGCCAAUAACACGGAGCGACAGACGAAAACUGCGCUGUCCACAGGAGUGACCACCAGCUUCACACUAGAUUGAUCUGAGUUAUUGAAAUUAAAUGAUAUUUUAAAAUCAGGUUGCUUCUCUUUUUUUUUUUAUUUUUAAGAGUGUGCAUGUGCAUGAGGAGAGAGGUCAAGGUCACCAUCUUCCUCUGUCAUUUUCCAUUUUACUUUUUGACACAUGCUCUCCCAGUGAAUUCGGAGUUUAUCAGCUGGCCAGUUGGCCUGCCAGUGAGCUUCAGGAAUAUUCAUGUCUCCACCCCAACUUCAAGCGCUGGUAUAACAAGUUUUGCCAGCAUGCCCAGUUUCUGUGUAGGCUCCAGGGAAUCCUAACUCAGGUCCUCGUGCUUGCAUGGCUUUUUUGAUGAGCCAUCUCCCCAGAUACAGUUCCUCUCUAAUACUAGCCACAUGUCAAGUGCUCAAGAGCCAUUGUGGCUAGUGGCUAGAGGCACUACGUAUUGCUUUUUUUGUGGAAAAUCCACAUGGAGUACUGGAGAUGCAAUAGAAUACUGGAGAGCUUGUGAGAGCCUUGUAGGGGUGGGAGUAAAGAGUAGGGAUGCCCAGGGACUAGGGUCUUAGCAAGCACUUCCAGACGGCUGUUACACAUAUCCAUUUCAGGAUGCAGCCCUCUUAAGGAUGGUAGAAGUUAGGAAGUGACCCUGGACAACCUGGCAUAGCCACUGAGCAUCUUCUGAGAGGUUUCUGGCUCUCUCUACUCCCAUGCAAGAUUUUCCAACCCAGACUUUCAGAUAAAUAUGAUGAGCAUCUUUGCUGGCAGCCAAGAGUACACUCAGCGAAACCCUCCUGGUUCCUCCAAGACACACUCAAUAAAAAAGAAACGGGGCUUUCUUGCGCUAGCUUCCUCUCUCCUUCUCCAGGAUCAGGAGGAUGGAAAUAGCCUCACCACUCCCCUUGAGCAUGUUUGAAUCAUAAGUACAUUCCCUCUAAAAUAAAUUUAUUUCCUGCUGCCUUCCUCCCCACAAAGCCCAACCAGUGAUGAAUACCAGACUUCAUAGCCUAUUUGUCAGCACAGGGCACCUGUGAGGAUUCCUGCGGAAGAUAAAUUUUGGUUUGGGAGAGGGGGGCCCAGAGAAGGAGGGACCUGGACAGGAAUAAAUCUUAACAUGUUGUGCCAGACUGUGAAUGAGCGUUUGCCUCCGCAAGGCUCACCUUCCUGACAAGGGAUGAUAAAUUACCCUCUUUGUUGACACCUUCAUUGGGUUAUUUAUGGCUCAUUAAUUGAACCGAAAAGGGGCCUUGUAGACCCAGCAGGGGACCAUACAAUGCUCCUCCAAUGGACCCAGC